rnacentral:rRNA from 1 species
AUACGGAGGGUGCAAGCGUUAAUCGGAAUUACUGGGCGUAAAGCGCGCGUAGGCGGUUUGGUAAGUCGGAUGUGAAAGCCCCGGGCUCAACCUGGGAAUUGCAUUCGAUACUGCCAGACUAGAGUAUGGUAGAGGGAAGUGGAAUUCCGGGUGUAGCGGUGAAAUGCGUAGAUAUCCGGAGGAAUACCAGUGGCGAAGGCGACUUCCUGGACCAAUACUGACGCUGAGGUGCGAAAGCGUGGGGAGCAAGCAGGAUUAGAAACCCUUGUAGUCC